rnacentral:rRNA from 1 species
GAGUUUGAUCAUGGCUCAGAUUGAACGCUGGCGGCAUGCCUUACACAUGCAAGUCGAGCGGCAGCGCGGGGGCAACCCUGGCGGCGAGCGGCGAACGGGUGAGUAAUACAUCGGAACGUGUCCUGUCGUGGGGAUAACCAGUCGAAAGAUUGGCUAAUACCGCAUGACCUCGUAAGAGAAAAGCGGGGGACCGUAAGGCCUCGCGCGACUGGAGCGGCCGAUGUCGGAUUAGCUAGUUGGCGGGGUAAAAGCCCACCAAGGCGACGAUCCGUAGCUGGUUUGAGAGAACGACCAGCCACACUGGGACUGAGACACGGCCCAGACUCCUACGGGAGGCAGCAGUGGGGAAUUUUGGGACAAUGGGGGCAACCCUGA